rnacentral:rRNA from 1 species
CCUACGGGAGGCAGCAGUGGGGGAUAUUGCACAAUGGGGGGAACCCUGAUGCAGCGACGCCGCGUGGGUGAAGGAGUGCUUCGGCAUGUAAAGCCCUAUCGGCAGGGAAGAAGCAAGACGGUACCUGACUAUGAAGCCCCGGCUAACUACGUGCCAGCAGCCGCGGUAAUACGUAGGGGGCGAGCGUUGUCCGGAUUCACUGGGUGGAAAGGGAGCGCAGACGGCCAAGCAAGCCCGGUGUGAAAGCCCGGGGCCCAACCCCGGGACUGCCCUUGGAACUGGAUGGCUGGAGUGCGGGAGGGGCAGGAGGAAUUCCUGGUGUAGCGGUGAAAUGCGUAGAGAUCAGGAGGAACACCGGCGGCGAAGGCGGCCUGCUGGACAGCGACUGACGUUGAGGCUCGAAAGCGUGGGGAGCGAACAGGAUUAGAUACCCCAGUAGUC